rnacentral:lncRNA from 1 species
GGAGGAAGAAAUAUGCAAUUAUCUCUUGGUCCUGCAGCAACAGUUUCACUUGCGGGCACCUAUGAUCACACUUCAAAAUCCGUCCGUUGGCGACCUUAACGACAAACCUGCUACAAUUCUCAAUAUGUAAGUUCAUAUGGACAGCAACCUUACUGUUUAGGAAGUUAUUAGUGCUGCCCGUGUCGAUGAGAACAGUGAUCGGUUGUUGUUUGAGAA